rnacentral:rRNA from 1 species
GGAAUAGUAGCUCUUCGGAGUGACCACCAUUCACUUAUAAAACACAAAGUCUAUGAAUGUAUACAAAUUUAUAACAAAACAGAACUUUCAACAACGGAUCUCUUGGCUCUCGCAUCGAUGAAGAACGCAGCGAAAUGCGAUACGUAAUGUGAAUUGCAGAAUUCAGUGAAUCAUCGAAUCUUUGAACGCACCUUGCGCUCCUUGGUAUUCCGAGGAGCAUGCCUGUUUGAGUGUCAUGAAAUCUUCAACCCACCUCUUUCUUAGUGAAUCUGGUGGUGCUUGGUUUCUGAGCGCUGCUCUGCUUCGGCUUAGCUCGUUCGUAAUGCAUUAGCAUCCGCAACCGAACUUCGGAUUGACUUGGCGUAAUAGACUAUUCGCUGAGGAUUCUAGUUUACUAGAGCCGAGUUGGGUUAAAGGAAGCUCCUAAUCCUAAAGUCUAUUUUUUGAUUAGAUCUCAAAUCA